CCUACGGGAGGCAGCAGUGAGGAAUAUUGGACAAUGGAGGCAACUCUGAUCCAGCCAUGCCGCGUGCAGGAAGACUGCCCUAUGGGUUGUAAACUGCUUUUAUAUAGGAAGAAACCUUGGUACGUGUACCAAGCUGACGGUACUAUAAGAAUAAGGAUCGGCUAACUCCGUGCCAGCAGCCGCGGUAAUACGGAGGAUCCAAGCGUUAUCCGGAAUCAUUGGGUUUAAAGGGUCCGUAGGUGGAUAAUUAAGUCAGAGGUGAAAUCUUGCAGCUCAACUGUAGAACUGCCUUUGAUACUGCCGGUCUUGAAUUAUUGUGAAGUGGUUAGAAUAUGUAGUGUAGCGGUGAAAUGCAUAGAUAUUACAUAGAAUACCGAUUGCGAAGGCAGAUCACUAACAAUAUAUUGACACUGAUGGACGAAAGCGUGGGGAGCGAACGGGAUUAGAUACCCCGGUAGUCCACGCCGUAAACGAUGGUCACUAGCUGUUCGGACUUCGGUCUGAGUGGCUAAGCGAAAGUGAUAAGUGACCCACCUGGGGAGUACGUUCGCAAGAAUGAAACUCAAAGGAAUUGACGGA
rnacentral:rRNA from 1 species